rnacentral:rRNA from 1 species
UACGGGGGGGGCAAGCGUUGUUCGGAAUUACUGGGCGUAAAGGGCUCGUAGGCGGCCAACUAAGUCGGACGUGAAAUCCCCAGGCUCAACCUGGGAACUGCGUCCGAUACUGGAUGGCUUGAAUCCGGGAGAGGGAUGCAGAAUUCCAGGUGUAGCGGUGAAAUGCGUAGAUAUCUGGAGGAAUACCGGUGGCGAAGGCGGCAUCCUGGACCGGCAUUGACGCUGAGGAGCGAAAGCCAGGGGAGCUAACGGG